GUUUGUCUUCAGAUCUUCUAGAUGAGGCACAAAGACUGUUUGGAUCAGCCUGCAAGCUUGCUUAAGCCCUUAAAACUGAUUUCAAUGGAAAUGGUCUGACUAAGCAUCCUUUGAAUGCCAGGGUAUGGUGUUAGCUAAGAGGAUGUAGAACAUCCUGUCUGGAAGAUGUGAAAGAUGGCAUCUAAAGCAGAACUGCAGUACCAGAUAGCACUUUUUAUGGACUCUCGAAAAGAGACAUGGCUGGGGAAGAGUGUGUGAUGUGAGGUCAGGCCAAACCAAUGGGAAUUAUCUUGUAUCACAAAAGAAGGUGCUGAAAGGGUAAGGAGAGUAAAUGGCUUUAUAGGUUAAAUAAGCUUAAUGGCCUGCAUGAAAGCAAGCCAGUGAGAGGGUGAAAUGCCAAAGCAAGAUGAGACCAAAGUAAUGAUUUAUCCUGCUCUGCAAACCAUGGCUAUUAAAUGGGGAGAGGCUGGAAAUGCUGCUGGCUGGUCUGUAGUGAUGCUGCAUGACAAUGUCAGCAGGCAGUGUCAAAUCUCCUGAGUGCACGCUCCUGGGAGGAUAACGUAAAAUGCUUUUCCCUGAUGUGAAUGCCUCUGGAAAUCCUGCCUACCCCCAUGUUCCAGCUACCAAAGCCUCACCAGGGUUCAGAGUGCUCUCACCAACUGCGGUCUCACUGUGAUGGGAGACACAUGGGAAGGGGUGAGAGAAUGCAGCCUGAGCUCCUGCCUGGUGAUAUAAUGGCUGGAGCACUUGCUGCUGCCCCUGGCACUUCCGUGGCAUCCACCUGGGCAGCUGAGAGGAGAGGAUUGGUUCAGCUAUGGCCAUCUCUCUUUGAGAGGGAAAGCCAGGUUGGGAAAUGGGGAGCGAAAGGACAGUGGGGCUGGCAGAGAGAGCUGAGGAGCUCACAGCACCACUCCCAGCAGCUCAUGUGGGCAUUGCCUCCUGUGCCAAGCCUUGCAAUCCCUUUUGUGUCCCUGCUCUGCCAUUAGUGCUCAGCACUGACACUGCUUUGGGCCCUGCUCUCCUUUCACAAUUGCUGCAAUUGUGUAGGGACAAGCUCAAGAAAGAGUCUUCGGUCUAUGGAUCGGUGAGAGGAUGCCAUAACAACUACUGUGUCUUCUUUUCCCUGCUGAGCAACAAUGAUAAACUUGAUUAGCAGGUGAGGGAUUUUUCUGAAUAGAGACAGGGAAAUAUUGAUACAUUUAUACUACCAUUCUCCAGUGAAUUAUUUUUGUAGCUUUGGUUACCCAUGGUCCAGAAGUGUGGUAUUCACAUGCCCUCUGAACAGAGAGAAGCUGUGAGACAAGCAGAGAAAGAAAACACAAUUCUUAUCUUGCUUGCUGUGCCUGUGUUGUGCAAAAGUAGAAUGCAAUAUGGAGAUUG
rnacentral:lncRNA from 1 species